AUGUUGGCCCCAAGUGAAGGUCUAUGAUUAGGAUUUGUGUGGUCUUCCGUUGUGAUGACGAACCCGCCUCUGGUCCAAUGUUUUGAAGCAGAAGUAGCCCCUCCCACAUGCUGCUCUGUGAGAGCCGACAUUAAAAGCUGAAGAACAUCUCCGUUUGAGAAGCUUUUCUGGUUUGAUGGAAAGAAAAUGAUGUGCUUGGUUCUGGUGUUGUCUUGGCCAGGUGUCUGCUGGGGCUUGGAAGUGCAUCAGUCUCCUCCUCAGGUCCUCGCAAAAAGUUCUGACAAUGUCCAGAUCUUCUGCAGCCACAAUCGCAGUGACUAUCGAGUGAUGCUCUGGUACCAGGUUCCUCCCUCAGACACGAGCAUGAAACUGGUUGGAAUAUUGUCCUUCAAGGAUGCUAUUCUGGAGAAGCCGUAUAAAAAAGAUUUUAGUAUAUCAGGAGAUCUGAGCGGGAACAGCGCAAAGAAGGCUUCUCUGACUAUCCGGGGUUUACAAGCGCAGCACGGCGCAGCGUAUUACUGCGCAGCCAGAGAAGCACGCUGA